GGAAGCCGGUGGAAACCCGGCACGGUCGCGCCACUGUGAGCGGCUGGCAGCCCAUGCGCUGCGCCGCGAGUCAGAC
rfam:Candidatus Burkholderia kirkii TZHbot1, WGS project CAFE01000000 data, contig: bkir_c52